rnacentral:rRNA from 1 species
UUCGGAUGGAAGCAAUAAACCUUAGCGGCGGACGGGUGAGUAACGCGUGGGUAACCUGCCUCAUACAGGGGGAUAACAGUUAGAAAUGACUGCUAAAACCGCAUAAGCGCACAUUGUCGAGUGACAGAGUGUGAAAAACUCCGGUGGUAUGAGAUGGACCCGCGUCUGAUUAGCUAGUUGGUGAGGUAACGGCCCACCAAGGCGACGAUCAGUAGCCGGCCUGAGAGGGCGACCGGCCACAUUGGGACUGAGACACGGCCCAAACUCCUACGGGAGGCAGCAGUGGGGAAUAUUGCACAAUGGGGGAAACCCUGAUGCAGCGACGCCGCGUGAGUGAAGAAGUAUUUCGGUAUGUAAAGCUCUAUCAGCAGGGAAGAAGAAAGACGGUACCUGACUAAGAAGCCCCGGCUAACUACGUGCCAGCAGCCGCGGUAAUACGUAGGGGGCAAGCGUUAUCCGGAUUUACUGGGUGUAAAGGGAGCGUAGACGGCUGUGCAAGUCUGAAGUGAAAGCCCAGGGCUCAACCCUGGGACUGCUUUGGAAACUGUGGAGCUAGAGUGCUGGAGAGGUAAGUGGAAUUCCUAGUGUAGCGGUGAAAUGCGUAGAUAUUAGGAGGAACACCAGUGGCGAAGGCGGCUUACUGGACAGUAACUGACGUUGAGGCUCGAAAGCGUGGGGAGCAAACAGGAUUAGAUACCCUGGUAGUCCACGCGGUAAACGAUGAAUACUAGGUGUUGGAGAGCAAAGCUUUUCGGUGCCGUCGCAAACGCAAUAAGUAUUCCACCUGGGGAGUACGUUCGCAAGAAUGAAACUCAAAGGAAUUGACGGGGACCCGCACAAGCGGUGGAGCAUGUGGUUUAAUU